AGAUCUGGUGUUGGGAGACAACAAUAAUGGUGGUGAUCAGGACAUGGCCAUACCGCACGGAAAACGACAGUCUUUAUGCAAUUAUCCACUUGGAAUGCAAUCUGGUGCCAUACCUGAUAGCAGCAUUACUGCAUCCUCGUACUGGUAUGAUAAGACUGGCUAUCACGCGCCAAAGACCGCACGGCUACACGGUACUGCAGGCGUUUGGUUGCCCAGGAAAACCGUCGGCGAAUGGUUGCAGGUUGAUUUAGGACAAAGAAAGAGCGUCACAGCCACCGCCAUUCAGGGCGACGCUACCAACUGGAUGUGGGUGAAGUCCUACUCACUACAGUACAGUUUAAAUGACAUUGAUUGGACGACAUAUAAAGGCGAC